CGGGACGGGUGGGUAAUGUCUGGGAAACGUGCCUGAUGGAGGGGGAUAACUACUGGAAACGGUAGCUAAUACCGCAUAACGUCGCAAGACCAAAGAGGGGGACCGUUAGGGCCUCUUGCCAUCGGAUGUGCCCAGAUGGGAUUGGCUAGUAGGUGGGGUAACGGCUCACCUAGGCGACGAUCCCUAGCUGGUCUGAGAGGAUGACCAGCCACACUGGAACUGAGACACGGUCCAG
rnacentral:rRNA from 1 species